AUUGAACGCUGGCGGCAGGCCUAACACAUGCAAGUCGGGCGGAUGACAGGAGCUUGCUCCUGAAUUCAGCGGCGGACGGGUGAGUAAUGCCUAGGAAUCUGCCUGGUAGUGGGGGACAACGUUUCGAAAGGAACGCUAAUACCGCAUACGUCCUACGGGAGAAAGCAGGGGACCUUCGGGCCUUGCGCUAUCAGAUGAGCCUAGGUCGGAUUAGCUAGUUGGUGAGGUAAUGGCUCACCAAGGCGACGAUCCGUAACUGGUCUGAGAGGAUGAUCAGUCACACUGGAACUGAGACACGGUCCAGACUCCUACGGGAGGCAGCAGUGGGGAAUAUUGGACAAUGGGCGAAAGCCUGAUCCAGCCAUGCCGCGUGUGUGAAGAAGGUCUUCGGAUUGUAAAGCACUUUAAGUUGGGAGGAAGGGCAUUAACCUAAUACGUUAGUGUUUGACGUUACCGACAGAAUAAGC
rnacentral:rRNA from 1 species